AGAGUUUGAUCCUGGCUCAGGACGAACGCUGGCGGCGUGCCUAACACAUGCAAGUCGAACGGACGAGGCCCCUUCGGGGACCGAGUUAGUGGCGGACGGGUGAGUAACGCGUGAGCAACCUGCCUUUCAGAGGGGGACAACAGUUGGAAACGACUGCUAAUACCGCAUGAUGCAGCGAGAUCGCAUGGUCUUGCUGUCAAAGAUUUAUCGCUGAAAGAUGGGCUCGCGUCUGAUUAGCUAGUUGGAGGGGUAACGGCCCACCAAGGCGACGAUCAGUAGCCGGACUGAGAGGUUGAACGGCCACAUUGGGACUGAGAUACGGCCCAGACUCCUACGGGAGGCAGCAGUGGGGAAUAUUGGGCAAUGGGGGAAACCCUGACCCAGCAACGCCGCGUGAAGGAAGAAGGCUUUCGGGUUGUAAACUUCUUUUACCAGGGACGAAGAACGUGACGGUACCUGGAGAAAAAGCCACGGCUAACUACGUGCCAGCAGCCGCGGUAAUACGUAGGUGGCAAGCGUUGUCUGGAUUUACUGGGUGUAAAGGGCGUGUAGGCGGAGCUGCAAGUCAGAUGUGAAAUCUGGGGGCUUAACCCUCAAACUGCAUUUGAAACUGUAGCCCUUGAGUAUCGGAGAGGCAGGCGGAAUUCCUAGUGUAGCGGUGAAAUGCGUAGAUAUUAGGAAGAACACCAGUGGCGAAGGCGGCCUGCUGGACGACAACUGACGCUGAGGCGCGAAAGCGUGGGGAGCAAACAGGAUUAGAUACCCUGGUAGUCCACGCUGUAAACGAUGAAUACUAGGUGUGGGGGGACUGACCCCCUCCGUGCCGGAGUUAACACAAUAAGUAUUCCACCUGGGGAGUACGACCGCAAGGUUGAAACUCAAAGGAAUUGACGGGGGCCCGCACAAGCAGUGGAUUAUGUGGUUUAAUUCGACGCAACGCGAAGAACCUUACCGGGAUUUGACAUCCUACUAACGAAGCAGAGAUGCAUUAGGUGCCCUUCGGGGAAAGUAGAGACAGGUGGUGCAUGGUCGUCGUCAGCUCGUGUCGUGAGAUGUUGGGUUAAGUCCCGCAACGAGCGCAACCCCUAUUGUUAGUUGCUACGCAAGAGCACUCUAGCGAGACUGCCGUUGACAAAACGGAGGAAGGCGGGGACGACGUCAAAUCAUCAUACCCCUUAUGUCCCGGGCUACACACGUAAUACAAUGGCGGUCAACAAAGGGAAGCAAAGCCGCGAGGCAGAGCAAACCCCCAAAAGCCGUCUCAGUUCGGAUUGCAGGCUGCAACUCGCCUGCAUGAAGCUGGAAUUGCUAGUAAUCGUGGAUCAGAAUGCCACGGUGAAUACGUUCCCGGGCCUUGUACACACCGCCCGUCACACCAUGAGAGUCGGGAACACCCGAAGUCCGUAGUCUAACCCGCAAGGGAGGGCGCGGCCGAAGGUGGGUCUGAUAAUUGGGGUGAAGUCGUAACAAGGUA
rnacentral:rRNA from 1 species